rnacentral:lncRNA from 1 species
UACGGCCCGCCCAUAGCUCCUUCGACGGCGCCGCCUAGGAACGCGGAGAAAAUAUGACAAAGGAACGGCCAAAAAUAAAAAGAAAGACCUUUCUUUUGAAAAAACAAACAAAAAAAAAGGAAUGCAACACGAGGACUUCCCAGGAGGUCACCCAUCCUAGUACUACUCUCGCCCAAGCACGCUUAACUUCGGAGUUCUGAUGGGAUCCGGUGCUUUAGUGCUGGUAUGAUCGCAUCCGACAUACCGUGCGUUCUCCUCCCCUUUAUGCCCGCGCCUCCGUGUACGGCCCGCCCAUAGCUCCUUCGACGGCGCCGCCUAGGAACGCGGAGAAAAUAUGACAAAGGAACGGCCAAAAAUAAAAAGAAAGACCUUUCUUUUGAAAAAACAAACAAAAAAAAGGAAUGCAACACGAGGACUUCCCAGGAGGUCACCCAUCCUAGUACUACUCUCGCCCAAGCACGCUUAACUUCGGAGUUCUGAUGGGAUCCGGUGCUUUAGUGCUGGUAUGAUCGCAUCCGACAUACCGUGCGUUCUCCUCCCCUUUAUGCCCGCGCCUCCGUGUACGGCCCGCCCAUAGCUCCUUCGACGGCGCCGCCUAGGAACGCGGAGAAAAUAUGACAAAGGAACGGCCAAAAAUAAAAAGAAAGACCUUUCUUUUGAAAAAACAAACAAAAAAAAGGAAUGCAACACGAGGACUUCCCAGGAGGUCACCCAUCCUAGUACUACUCUCGCCCAAGCACGCUUAACUUCGGAGUUCUGAUGGGAUCCGGUGCUCUAGUGCUGGUAUGAUCGCAUCCGACAUACCGUGCGUUCUCCUCCCCUUUAUGCCCGCGCCUCCGUGUACGGCCCGCCCAUAGCUCCUUCGACGGCGCCGCCUAGGAACGCGGAGAAAAUAUGACAAAGGAACGGCCAAAAAUAAAAAGAAAGACCUUUCUUUUGAAAAAACAAACAAAAAAAAAGGAAUGCAACACGAGGACUUCCCAGGAGGUCACCCAUCCUAGUACUACUCUCGCCCAAGCACGCUUAACUUCGGAGUUCUGAUGGGAUCCGGUGCUUUAGUGCUGGUAUGAUCGCAUCCGACAUACCGUGCGUUCUCCUCCCCUUUAUGCCCGCGCCUCCGUGUACGGCCCGCCCAUAGCUCCUUCGACGGCGCCGCCUAGGAACGCGGAGAAAAUAUGACAAAGGAACGGCCAAAAAUAAAAAGAAAGACCUUUCUUUUGAAAAAACAAACAAAUAAAAGGAAUGCAACACGAGGACUUCCUAGGAGGUCACCCAUCCUAGUACUACUCUCGCCCAAGCACGCUUAACUUCGGAGUUCUAAUGGGAUCCGGUGCUUUAGUGCUGGUAUGAUCGCAUCCGACAUACCGUGCGUUCUCCUCCCCUUUAUGCCCGCGCCUCCGUGUACGGCCCGCCCAUAGCUCCUUCGACGGCGCCGCCUAGGAAC